GUCUUUUUGAAAAUAAUUUAAAGUCUAAUCUGCCCACUGAUAAAUAUUAAAGGGCUGCAGUAUAUUGACUGUACAAAGGUAGCAUAAUCAUUAGUUUUUUAAUUGAAAACUUGUAUGAAAGAUUUAAUGAAAUAAUAACUGUCUCUAAAUUAUUAAUAGAAUUUUAUUUUUUAGUAAAAAAGCAAAAAUAGAUUUAAAAGACGAGAAGACCCUAUAGAGUUUUAUAUUUAAUUUAUUUUUAAUUAAAUAUAUAAAUUAAUAUAAAAAAUAAAUAAAAUAUUAUAUUGGGGUGAUAGAAAAAUUUAAUUAACUUUUUUUAAAUUAUAAACAUUAAUAAAUGAUUUUUUGAUCCAUAAAUAAUGAUUAAAAGAUAAAAUUACCUUAGGGAUAACAGCGUAAUAUUAUUUUUUAGUUCAAAUAAAAAAUAAAGUUUGCGACCUCGAUGUUGGAUUAAGAUAAAAUUUAAAUGCAAAAGUUUAAAAGUUUGAUCUGUUCGAUCAUUAAAAUCUU
rnacentral:rRNA from 1 species